UUUCAAUCCCAAAAAACUUCUAGGUUGGACGCCAAAGUUGUUAUAGUGCGGAAAAUAGUAGCAAUUUGAAAUCCGAGGGAACUAAAAAACAAACAAAAUAUGCGAGCAAGGCUUCUCCAUGGCGAAAUAAUAACAGUUGAAUUUAGUGUACUAAAACAAUUUUCACCCAAUUUGCAGGUAACGCAAAAUUUCAUUCAGAUUAUAAUUUGCUUCUGAGAUGGCUUUCUAAAUUUGGCGAAAGUUUGUACAUCGGUUUAUUGCAUUGUUACCCUGUGAAUUUGAAACCCUUGUGCUACCGAAGAUUUAGUAGGGCUGCUAAAUUUAGCCGGGUUUUGGUCAAUUUCGCUCUUUUUUUCGGCCAUGGAUGACUUUAUGUGCAGCGAUGAUGAAUAUGACAGUGACAGCAUCGAAAUCGAGCAAGCUGACGAUGUCGAAGUUAGUUGUGCGGAAACUCCACCACCCUCGAUUAAGGUGAUCACAAAAGCAUCCUUAUUGGCAGCACAGAGAGAAGAUUUACAUAAAGUGGUGGAAUUGCUUCGGCUAAAGGAGCAGCAUGCUCGGACACUCUUGAUUCAUCACCGUUGGGAUGUUGAGAAGUUACUUUCUGUAUUUGUAGAUAAAGGAAGUGAUAGAUGCCUUUCCGAAGCAGGUGUUAUGGUUCUAGAGCCAACAAGUUCGUGCUCUACAUCCCUGCCAUCUUCUGUUUUGUGUGAGAUUUGUAUGGAUGACAAAUUGCAGGAAGAAGUCACCAUGAUGGAGUGCGGCCACUGUUUUUGCAAUGAGUGCUGGACAAAUUAUUUUGUUAUUAUGAUAAAUGAAGGAAAGAGUAGGCGAGUGAGAUGCAUGGCACACAAAUGCAAGGCUAUCUGUGAUGAAGACAUUGUUAGAAAGCUUGUCAGUGCAAAAGAUCCUGGGCAGGCUGAACGCUUUGAGCGUUUCUUGUUAGAAUCCUAUAUUGAAGACAAUGGGAAGGUGAAAUGGUGUCCUAGCAUUCCAAACUGUGGAAAUGCUAUUCGUGUUGAAGGAGAUGUGCACUUUGAAGUUGAAUGUAUUUGCGGACAGCAAUUCUGUUUCAAUUGUUUGGCUCAAGCACAUUCUCCUUGUUCAUGUAUCAUGUGGGGGCUUUGGGACAAAAAAUGUAAGGAUGAGUCAGAAACAGUUAACUGGCUAACAGUUCACACAAAGCCUUGCCCUAAGUGUCACAAGCCUGUUGAAAAGAAUGGAGGUUGCAAUCUAGUGAGUUGCAUUUGUGGCCAAGCUUUCUGUUGGCUAUGUGGUAGUGCGACUGGUCGUGAGCAUACUUGGACAACCAUUGAAGGGCACAGCUGUGGCCGAUAUAAAGAAGAAAGGGAAAAGGAGUCACAAAAGGCAGAACGUGACUUGAAAAGAUACAUACAUUAUCAUUCACGCUGGAAGGCACAUAUGGAUUCACUGAAGCUUGAAGCAAAACAGAGGGAAUCGGUACAGACAACAAUUCUAGAUUUAGAAAAGAUGGAAUCUGGAGUAAAAGAUUACAGUUGGCUAACAAAUGGAUUGCAGAGGCUGUUUAGAGCAAGGCGUGCCCUUUCGUACUCUUAUCCUUUUGCAUAUUACAUGUUUGGAGGUGACUUGUUUAGGGAUGAGAUGACAGAUGAUCAGAGGACUCUGAGACAGAAUCUUUUCGAAGAUCAACAACAACAGUUGGAGAAUGCAGUAGAGCGGCUCUCUAAGUUUAUUGAGGGCCCUUUCAAUGAUCUAGACCAAAGCUGUGUUAUGGAGAUCCGUAUGCAAGUUAUCAAUCAGAGUGUUCUCAAUGAUACUCUGUGCAAAAAAAUGUAUGAUUGCAUUGAAAAUGAGUUAUUGGGUUCUCUAGAACUGACAACACAUCAUAUUGCUCCCUACAAUCCUAUGGGUGUUUUGAGGGCAUCAGAGCUAGUAGAUUAUAGAGAGCCCGAUCCAAGUUCAUCAAGUACCAAAACUAGUUUAGAUUGUAAUGGGCAUUUUGAAGCAUCUUCAGUAUCAACUAGAAUCGGUACAGAAGUAAUGUCAAAGAGGUCACACAGUGAUCAAGAUCCUUCACCAGUAUUGAAUUGUUCAAUCUCAAGUAGAAAGCGUUCUCGGGAAGAUAAUGCUGGGAAAGAAAAUACUGGAGGCAUUUCAUUUGAUUUAAAUAUGCCAGCUGAAACCAUGGAUAUGAAAGAUACUGCUGUGGGGCUGCAGGAUGAUUAGAAGUGUGUUGUGAGAUAAUUUGCAUGAUUGGCAUAAAAAUGGGUGUGGGAUUGAAAUCUUUCAAGAGGUUUCAUUUGUACAGUUUUGACUAACAGGGUCAUCAAAGUUAGCUUCUGAAGUUUUCUUGGGAUGGAGAUGUUACAUGCUAUAACCAUUUAUAAGGUCACCUCAUACAGGCACGAUAAGUGAAAAUGGCUGGAAUUGCUUAUUUUGAUUAACGAAGAAUGCCAUGCUUUAUUUUACUGUGGUUUACUUUCUUAGUCUUGAUUAGAGGGCUGAGUAUAAAAUUUAAAAUCUAGAUUGCUAAGGUGCACUUGCUCAUUGAAAUUGCAAAAACCUCAGGACAUGAAGCUUGUGUGCAGCAAUUGUUGAUGGUGAUAGCUUGAACUUACAGACCUUUGGAAGAAUAUCAAUUGGUGUUUCGCCUCGCUUAAAUGAUUGGAUUCAGGAAAUCUGCCAAAGAUGUAGAUUUUUCUUGGAAAGGAUUUCCUUUGAUAUGUAAAAAUGACAUGCAUUUUAAAAUGCAAAUAUAGUUCAAUUUAAUAAAGUUCAACCUUUUGUUGCUUU